CCUACGGGAGGCAGCAGUGGGGAAUUUUGGACAAUGGGCGCAAGCCUGAUCCAGCAAUGCCGCGUGAGUGAAGAAGGCCUUCGGGUUGUAAAGCUCUUUUGUCAGGGAAGAAACGGUGGGGGCUAAUAUCCCUCGCUAAUGACGGUACCUGAAGAAUAAGCACCGGCUAACUACGUGCCAGCAGCCGCGGUAAUACGUAGGGUGCAAGCGUUAAUCGGAAUUACUGGGCGUAAAGCGUGCGCAGGCGGUUUUGUAAGUCUGUCGUGAAAGCCCCGGGCUCAACCUGGGAAUUGCGAUGGAGACUGCAAGGCUUGAAUCUGGCAGAGGGGGGUAGAAUUCCACGUGUAGCAGUGAAAUGCGUAGAGAUGUGGAGGAACACCGAUGGCGAAGGCAGCCCCCUGGGUCAAGAUUGACGCUCAUGCACGAAAGCGUGGGGAGCAAACAGGAUUAGAUACCCUGGUAGUCCACGCCCUAAACGAUGUCUACUAGUUGUCGGGUUUUAAUUAACUUGGUAACGCAGCUAACGCGUGAAGUAGACCGCCUGGGGAGGUACGGUCGCGAGAAGUUAAACUUAAAGUAAGUAAGUUAGUACGGCGUGAGACGUAGCCGAACGGACGACGACGACGGGAGGUUAGG
rnacentral:rRNA from 1 species